CUUAUCCUCGUUUGUAAGUUGCUUUGAAUAAAAGCGUCUGCUAAAUGACUAAAU
rfam:Danio rerio chromosome 6, GRCz11 reference primary assembly.